rnacentral:rRNA from 1 species
ACGCUCGACAUCUACGGGGAGGCAGCAGUGGGGAAUAUUGCACAAUGGAGGAAACUCUGAUGCAGCGACGCCGCGUGAGGGAAGAAGGUCUUCGGAUUGUAAACCUCUGUUGUCAGGGACGAUGAUGACGGUACCUGACGAGGAAGCCACGGCUAACUACGUACCAGCAGCCGCGGUAAUCUGAGCGGGCUGGCAAGGC